GGGGCUACUAGUCUAGCAGAGUGUUUUCUUUUGUUAUAUUAAACCAGAUCUGUUUCUCUGCUGCUUCACUUCACUCAAAAAAAAGCUCUCAGUCGCCCUAAAAUCCCGAAUUUUGAUUUCCAGAUUUUUCAAUUCGAUUCUAGGGUUUCUGAACGGCUCCCAAAAUCCACCAUAAUUGAUGCCACUCUCCUCCGCCAUGUAAUGUAGGGUUUCAAUUUUGGCAAAUAUGGAUUGGGUCUGGUACGACACGAAGCCAGCAAAAGUUUCAAAGAGGGUGUGGUUAGUAAUUCAAAAAACGAUGGGGCUCCUCGUGGGUGGGAAUCACACCUCCUCCAGGUUUUGCACUCGCUAAUCUACUCUCUCAUUCUGUGUUUGGCUUUUUCCCCUCGCAAAGUUUUCUUAUAGAAUUCUUUACCAAAAUUCCCAACUUUACUCUUUUUGAUAAAAGAACUGAUAUUUGAUCGAGAAACCCCAUUUGCUUGCGUUACGAUUUGGGCCUUAUGUUUCAGAGCCAAAUUUUCAAAACGAAGAGAAUCAUGGAUUUGAAGGCUCUGAAAUCGCAGAUCCUUCAUGGGUCUCUGGCCAGGCGUGUGUUUUUCCGCGCUUUCUUUAUCGCCUCGGCCAUGUCCAUUAUACCCUUGUUUCACGUUUUGUCAGGACCCUAUAUAACAAUGUUCACUUUUGUGAAUCCGGGUGACUGCGCCUCCCAAUUGGGCCAUACCCAUGUCGACUUGGCCCCGGGAAAGUUCAACUUUCAGAGUCGUUACCUGAAUCCCUUUUGGGGCUCUUUCAAUUCGGACCGGUGCAAGCAAGAUGUGAACUUGACUGUCAGUGUGGUCAGAGAGCUUAUGAGCAAGCAGAUAUUGAAUUAUGGUACAAAAGCUCUCUGUGUUGGAGAAGGCUCCGCCUCAACCGUGUUGGCAUUGCAAGAUUUGGGUUUCCCCAAUGCUCGUGGUGUUUAUGAACGCCGCUUCUUCUCACUGAAGCGCAAACAGUUCGUGUACGAAAUUGACUAUGAGGACAAAUCUUUUGAUUUUGUGCUCUCCAGGGAUCUAGAUAAGGUUUCUGUCCCUGCGCUUCUUGUGCUCGAGAUCGAGCGUGUACUUAGCCCUGGUGGGAUUGGGGCAAUACUUGUGGGUAGCAGCAUUUCCGCCCCGAAUAGCUUGAUUAGGUCUGCCACCCCAAUUUCUUCGUUGCUGAAAAGUUCCAGCGUUGUGCAUGUUAACCACAUCGGUAACUUCACUUUGGUUGUGUUCAGGAAAAGUUAUGAAAAUGCUGGGCUUUUUGAGAAGUAUCGCCUUCCGGCUGACUGCCAAUCUCUCACAAACAAUCGACCUUUCAUUGGGAAAAUGGAGCCUCUUGUGAAGGAAAAGCCAGUCGAUUAUGGAAAGAAGUUCAAUUAUUUGCCUAAUUUUGUUGAUCUUUCCUCAAAGAAGCGCUUGGUCUAUGUUGAUAUUGGGGCAGCGGAGCACCUGAACUCAAAUGCUACAAAUUGGUUCCUGCCCUCUUAUCCCAUCGAACGCAAAGCUUUCCAUACUUAUUUUGUUGACCACAACACUUCUGUUCUAUUGUCCUAUGUCAAAAAGCCAGGAAUCACCUUUGUUUAUCAUCCAGGGCUGGCUGGAAUUAAGGCUCAAGUCAAUGUUACAACUGAUGGAGAAACAGAGCCAUAUGUGGGAGAUGAAGGGUUUGAUUUCCAUGCCUGGUUUAAGGAAACGGUGCAGUUUGCAGAUUUCGUGGUCCUGAAGAUGAAUGCAGGGAAUGUAGAACUGAAGUUCCUCACAGAGCUGUUUGAAAGUGGAGCCAUAUGCUUUGUAGACGAGCUGUUUCUUCAUUGCUCCGGCGGUGUUGAUGCAGGAGGUGCAAUGCCGGUGGACUGCAUGGACAUCUUCGGAAGCCUCCGUAGCAGUGGUGUCUUUGUCCAUCAGUGGUGGGGAGACGGCAACCCUGUUGAUGUUCUUUGAUCCGUUCGGUUUGAUCAUGUUUCGACCGUAGUGUGUUAUGUUGUUGAACUCGGGCUUACCAACUGCUCGAGGAUUGAAGCAAUCAGCGACUUCACUGGCUACAAUCAACACUAGAAAGUGAUACACCCAUUUUAUCGUUAGAGAGUAGACUAACAUUAAAUUGUAAAUAAGCUUGAUUAUAGUUUCAAGUGAAGUUUCGCUUUGGUCCAUA